rnacentral:siRNA from 1 species
GUGUCAAGUCUAUCGUUCAGAUG